UGAGCAACCUACCCUCAACUUCGGGAUAAGCCUCGGAAACGGGGUCUAAUACCGGAUAUCACUCCUUUCUUCAUGGUUUGGGGUUGAAAGUUCUGGCGGUUGGGGAUGGGCUCGCGGCCUAUCAGCUUGUUGGUGAGGUAAUGGCUCACCAAGGCGACGACGGGUAGCCGGCCUGAGAGGGCGACCGGCCACACUGGGACUGAGACACGGCCCAGACUCCUACGGGAG
rnacentral:rRNA from 1 species